UGCCUGGCGACCAUAGCGUUUUGGACCCACCUGAACCCAUUCCGAACUCAGAAGUGAAACGAAAUAGCGUCGAUGGUAGUGUGGGGUUUCCCCAUGUGAGAGUAGAACAUCGCCAGGCAU
rnacentral:rRNA from 1 species